CCCAGUUCAAUAGAUACCUGGGCAGGUGCUUAAAUUCUUUCCUUUUAAACAGACGAUGUAAAGACCUGUGAAAUGCCCUGCCAAGCUUGCACUAGGAGGCUUGAGGCUUGCUGCUUGCUGGGGUGGUGCUCUGAUCACCUCCUGUUACAAGUGCUUUCUUUAGAAAAGCUCUCCUGUUGUUCAGACCUUUCCAUAAGCUACAUUGAAGCACACAAAUUAUUAAUACAUACAAGCAGUUGUCAUGGAGAUAGUAUUAUCCAAAGUGGGGUUUCUUAAUAAGUGGCACAAAGUUGGCACAUCCCACAUGCCUUGUACAGAGAGUUCCUACAGAAUGGUUCCUGCGUUAGACAUGGGAUAGAUCCGUAUCUUUGCCUUUCGUGCCAGCGUGCUCUGGAGAAACCACUGUUGCUGGCUUUCAGAGGGUUGGCUUUAGGAAUCUGGAAAAUGUAGGACUUGUACGAGGUGUUGGGUUUAUUUCAAGUCAUAACAUCUUCGCAAGGGGCCGUACAGCUCGCUUCUGUGAACCCUCAAACACAACGUGACAGCUGAAUUAGGGCUGAAACCACUGUGGGAUAUAUUUUCUCUCCUCAUGUUGGUGCAGAGACUUAGAGCAAAACGCAGUAACUAACCCAGAAGGAGGCAGCUGGCUGAUGUAGCUGGGGAGGCUGCAGGGCUGCAAUGACGGUGGUUUUCCCUGGAACAAGACUGCAAUCCUAGUAAAUGCCUAUAAAUCCAAGAGGACCAGGUGCUGUACCUGCAGACUUAAGGGUAUUAAACCAGAGCUCUCUGAGAUGUUUUGCCCAUGCUUCUCGUAACACUUCUGCUCUUUAACUGUGCCCUUGCAAAGUAGCACACAGCACAGUUCAGCUGAUAAGUAGGUCUCUUACCUUUAUUCUGUGCUUCCUUCUCUUGUCCUGGAGAUCCUGUUACACUUCAGCCAGGCAGCACCUAACUGAUGAUGCAGCCAUUCCGUAGCCUAUUUAUUUGAGUGAAUGGAUGACAUUCUCUGCACGUUAUAGUUACUGCUUUCUUUUUUUUCUUCCCCAGAUACUCUUCAGUUAAUGCUACAUCACAGUUACUGUCAUAAUGACCUUCAUCUGGGCCAAGCAGCUAGAGAAUUCAGUUACAGAAAGACUGCAAAAAGGAUUGCAGCAAGAAAAUGUGAGGUAUUCCUUCCUCCCUGUGCUGCCAGCACUGCAUGAGCGGAGAGGCGAUGCAGGGCCCAUUACAACAGCAGUGCACCUCACCUGCACAGAACGAGAGGCAGAAGCUUGCUGGCUUCACGAGGGAGGCUCUCCAGCAUGGAAUCACUGGCCCGAUGCUCUGGGACACUGCACAGCGAGUUUCAUUCUGGUUCAUGUUUUACUAGCAAAAAUAACAUACAAAACCCUGGCUGACUCCCUCAGAAGAGUGUUUAUUUUGGAAGCGGCACCUUCCGGGCACCGAAGCACUGACACAAGUUGGCCUCAACAGAUGUCCAAGCGGAGGCAAAUGUACCAAAAUCUGUGAAGACUUAAUCAUGUGGAGAUAAUAUACCAAGUGAAAGAACUUCCACCAUAAAGGAAAUAACCUGUUCAGUGGUUGCAGGCACAAGGGCAGUUUCACUUAUCCUGAAGCUGUGCCUACGAUGGAGUCAGGACCGCAGCACCGGACAAUCAGAUUUCGAGCUGGUGAGACUUUUCCUCCAUUGCAUCUGAAGAAUGGUGUUGAGCAGAGGUUUAAGAAGUCCAAGUCCAGCUCUUACUAUCAGCAACGCCCCACAGCCAACAAGAAAGGACACGUGUCUAAAGCACUUCAGAAUAAUGCUUGAUGUGAUUUAUCCUCAGUUCACCCCCGGUGAACACCAACAGUCAAGGUACUGCCGGCUCUCUUCAGUCACCCUGUAGUAACUCACCACUAAUGAGCGCCUGGUCAUCGUGCUGCAGAGCAUCAGCAGUCGGGGCUGGUAACAGGAAACAGCAAAGGUAACCAUAAAAUACUUGUUAAUUCCCUGUCAGGUUUUUGAUUGGAAUUUCUGUUCUCUAAUAGAUCUUCCACCCAGAAAGGCACGUUUGCAUCUUUUCCUUAAUCAUACAUGAUUAUGCAGAUUCCUUAUAUGUUAUUUAUUCCUGUAGCAUGGCAUUAAUUCACAAUACAUUCAGUGAAUUUAGACAUGGAUAUUGGAGAAAUGCAGUUUAAACAUGACUACAGUAUCACAGCUCUGCAAUUACUACCCCCUUUUUUCUUUAGAUACUGAACAGGCCAAAAUCAGUGUAGGGGGUUCAGUUUGUAAAGCCAAGCUUGUGGUUUCAUGUCCUGGGUGAAGCAGCCUCUCUUUUCCCUGUGCCCCUCUCACUCUCCCCAUCCCAGGCUACUGUCUCGUUGGUGCCACUGCAUCUUCCUGAGGCUGCUGAGCAGGAAAAUGAGCCAAGUUCAAAAUAACCAUCUUUGGGUUAUUUUAGUUGAGAUCCAGUCCUUGCCCGGGUUCACUGCACAACCCCACAUGCAAUUACGCCAGCACAGCUCAGGGAAAGAUGUGGGACUAGAAACAAACAACAUGACUUUGGGCUGCACAGGGCAGAGCUGCUGCCAAAAGAAACGUUAGUGGAGCUGUACCAAAUAUUUGUUUGGAAACAGUUUUAAAGUGAAGUUUCAGAACACUUGUAGAUGAAACGGGGUUAGUUGUUGGGAUAAAAGGCUGCAGCCAAAGUUAAGUCUGGCUUCUAAUUAUACAGGAUAAACAGAUACAAAAUUAGCCUCUGUGAAGUCCAAAUAGGUAAUUUCGCAGUGAAGAGUUAAAUACUGGAUAUUUAACAAUAAAAAGUAUUAAAUGGUUUUAAAUCCUCAUGCCUGUCACGCUGAUCACCAAGCUACAGCCUAUAACUGCUGUUCAGGAGUAAAGGGGUUUCCUGGGCAAUGGUGACCACGAACUCCAGCACCUCUUCACCCCGCUGGAAACACACCAAAAAUGGCUUUUGCCUAAAAUGUCCCUUCUCACUUCUUCACAUUAUUCUCAUUGAUGAUGCUGGGGAUGGAAAACUUGGGAAGCAGAGGUUGUUGAGAGCCGUACCCUGUAGAAACCUGUUGUUUAAUGUUCAGCACACAGGAAUAAUGGCUUUUGUUCAAACCAUACGUAAUGUUUUUCAUCUGGCAACUGUUUUCUCUCUAAAUGAUAAAACAUUAAAACCUGAACUAAAAAUAAUCCUGUUUUCUGUUCCAGUUCAGGAAAUUUCUAUGAGCCAAGUUUUGUUGUUGUUUUUUACUGACUGUUAUUCCAAGUAUUCAACUCAGCAGCUGCUGACUCCACAAUCAUAGGGCUGGUUUCAUACAACCUUCAUUUAUUGUCUUUUGGUUUUGGAAACUCUGACAAAACAUCAGCUGGAACACUCAGCCCAGCCUUUUCUUGUCAUACCUGGAAUAAACCAGCGGAUGAUCUUCUGCAAGAGAAGAUCAUUCCCUAGUAAAGCACAGACCCCAGAGGAUGUCCCAUAUUCCCUAGCUGGAAGAUCCUUUAGCAAGCUAGUGAGGUUUUGAUGCUAAAACCACCUGUAAAAUACAAACACCAUUAGACGGGAAAAGUAGGAAAGUAUCAACGUGAGAAGUCUCCAAGGCUGGAUCCUGCAGCUUUUUCCCUCCUGUGCUUACUCCAGCUGCAGGCACGCAGUCCCCAGUUCAGCGGUGUGUUUAAGCCCCCAGCCCAGGCACCUGCUGCAAAAG